GAGUUGAUAAUUCAAGGAUUUAAGCAAAAAAACUUGUCGUAAUAAAGUCUAUUUUUUAUAUACUCUACUAGGUAUCCAGGAUUCCAGCCUGAAUCCCAAAGGACCCAUUGUAACUAAAUCCAUUUGACAUUAUGAACCCAAAAGCACAUGGUAAUGUGAAUAUUCUGGCUAUGAACUGGAGGAGGAUACAUGGUGUUUAAUUUGCUCUCGUUAAGUCCUUUCACCUGACCUUAAACAAAAAAAAAAACAAAGUUGAAUACCUUUUUCGUUCUUCCUCCAAUUGACUUUUUCCGAA